AUGUUGUUGAAUUCACUGCAGAACUGUGCGAUGUUUGCUAUACGUGUUGUGAUUCUUGCUUUUGUUCUUCAUCUCAGAUCCGCAGUCACCUCCUUCAAAGUUACGCCUCGUUCAUGUUUCACCUCCUUCGAUCAGAGCAAACCAACAAAAAUGCAUAUAGUAUCUUCAGUUUUUGAGGCGACGAUAUUCGCCAAUAAAACCAAAGAAGGUGAGGUUGAAGAGUGA